rnacentral:rRNA from 1 species
GACGAACCGUGCGAACGUUGUUCGGAUUCACUGGGCUUAAAGGGCGCGUAGGCGGGCGAUCAAGUCAGGGGUGAAAUCCUCCGGCUCAACCGGAGAACAGCCUAUGAUACUGGUCGCCUCGAGGAAGGUAGGGGCAUGUGGAACUUCCGGUGGAGCGGUGAAAUGCGUAGAUAUCAGGAGGAACACCGGUGGCGAAGGCGGGUCUCUGGGCCGAUACUGACGCUGAGGAGCGAAAGCGUGGGGAGCGAACAGG